rnacentral:rRNA from 2 species
AGCGCAACCCUUAUCCUUUGUUGCCAGCGAUUAGGUCGGGAACUCAAAGGAGACUGCCAGUGAUAAACUGGAGGAAGGUGGGGAUGACGUCAAGUCAUCAUGGCCCUUACGACCAGGGCUACACACGUGCUACAAUGGCGCAUACAAAGAGAAGCGACCUCGCGAGAGCAAGCGGACCUCAUAAAGUGCGUCGUAGUCCGGAUUGGAGUCUGCAACUCGACUCCAUGAAGUCGGAAUCGCUAGUAAUCGUGGAUCAGAAUGCCACGGUGAAUACGUUCCCGGGCCUUGUACACACCGCCCGUCACACCAUGGGAGUGGGUUGCAAAAGAAGUAGGUAGCUUAACCUUCGGGAGGGCGCUUACCACUUUGUGAUUCAUGACUGGGGUGAAGUCGUAACAAGGUAACCGUAGGGGAACCUGC